CACCCGUACACGUUGUCUUUAUCUUCUUGCUGUUUUAAAAGUGAUGGGCAGUUAAUCAUAAAACUACUAAAUAAGUAACUGCGUAGAAGUUUGGUCUGAAGUUUGACUGUUUUCUCAGAACAAAUUCAAACUUAUUGAGCACUAACAAAAUAAUCAAAUAUACAACUGUAAUUAAUAUUACCAUAUCACAAAUCAAUAGAGUCGGGAUCUUUUUUAAA